UCGGACAGGUGCGGAGGGUGAAAAGGGAAUGGGGUGAGAAUCCCCUGCGGUAUACUGUCGCUGUAUAUACUAAAUUCUAUAUCUUAAGGUGAAAGCCGGUCAUUGGGAAACUGAGAAGGCAGAUAUGGAAUGUUUGCUGAAAGGCAUAUAAUGUAUGAGUCAGAAGACCUGCUCUGAUA
rnacentral:ncRNA from 1 species